CAGCCGAGAGACGAGCCGAGCUCCUGCAGCGUGGGUGAGAUGAGGGAAAGGAAGCAUCAGAAGAAUGGAGAAGGUGAGAGGAGAGUGGGUAAGCAGUGCACAGAGACAAAUAAAGACACUGUGAGACUCAAGCAGUGGAAGAGAUGACAAAGUGUGGAUGGGAUGGAGACGAGACUUAAGAGGAGUCCGAGCACGUGACGGACAGGGGCUGCCCUGCUGUCAGCUGAUAUUUGAUUCUCCAAACCACUGCAGCUGUGGAGCUGUGUGCGAGGAUCACUCAUUCAGUGUGGGAUCAGAGCCUUACACUUAGAGGAACAAAGAAGUUGUUUGGAAGCUGCAACAGCCGUGGGUUUACCACAGUCAUGUCUUCAAACGUAACCAUUUGAUGUGUAAUGAUGGUGAGACAUAAGUGGAAGGUGAGUGCUCUCUGGAUGCUGCUUCCCAGUUAACAAGACAGUUGUUAAUGUUCUGCCUGCUGGGAGCACGAAGGAAACACAAAGGUCACACCUCUAUACAGCUCCCAGGUGUGUGUGUGUGUGUGUAUAGGUGAAGCGGGUCAGCUGGUGUUGUGAAUCAGGCCGCUAAAGAGUGAGACACGGCUUCUUCACAACACCAGGGUUCCUCCUCACCACUUCCUGCUGCAACCUGACGAAGGACAAACACAUAUUCCAUGUUGAUGUGUUUACUGUUCAAACUUCUGGAAACAAGGAAACACACUCCUUUUCACCACUUUUCCCACCUAAGGUCACCUAUGUUGACCCAUUAUUGUCACUUUUAAACUGUUUUCACCAUAUUUCAUGCUUAUUUUUGCCCAUUGUUUGUCAGUUUAAAAUAAUUGUUCUUACUUUUUAAAUGGCAUUGCCCCAACCCCCUCCCCCCAUUUCUGCCACUUUUAAGC
rnacentral:lncRNA from 1 species